rnacentral:lncRNA from 1 species
CCCCGACGAAAAUCCACGAUGAUCUUGACGGAAUUUGCUUGAUCUUCCUCUUUCUUCUCUUCUUCUUCUCCUUCUUCUCUUCUCAAGCCCUAGCCUUCACUCUCUUAAAAAUGGAUAAAAUGAUCCAAGGAUCAGCUCUAUACAACAAUAUAAUCCCAAAAGAAAUGGCUAGGGAAAAGACUAAAAUGCCCUUAAUGAUUUCCGGACGGAUUUCCUUGUCAACUGCCCAACUUUCAAAAGGCAUAUCUCACUCAUACGAACUCGGAAUCGAGUAAACUCAGUGGCGUUGGAAAGAUCGUUCCAUGAACUUUACAACCAUAACCGGAACCCCACCUAACUCAUCCUGAGCUAGAAUUUAUGGCUGUUCAAAGUUGGCCAAAAAUUCACAUUUUCCAUACUUAGCCAAAAUUUCCCAGAUUUUCAAAUCCUUUCCAAAAAUGAAAAUUUUCAAAUUCUUAGCCUCUCCUUAGC